UAGAGAGUCUUAUGUUCAUUGCUGUUCAUUCCCCUUGAUAUAUCUUUGCAACUCCUUAUGCUUGCUACAUUGUCAGAUGUCUGUGCCAUGAUUAAUCACUUCUUCUUUAUGUAGAUGCAAGUCCUGCUGGAUCAACCACGAAUAAUGAUCCAACAAGACAUCCGGAGCUAGAAGCUGGUACAAACAUGAGAAAUUCAAUAACAAGCCCUUUUGUGAAACCAAAUCCAGGGAUAGCAAUGUGGUUGGGCUGUGUGUCUAUGAGGUGCAUUUUUCUUAGAACUCCUAGAGGCAGAGGAGCCUCAAAGCACAUCCCAACCUGUGGAAUUGACUCGUGGGCACAGGUUCCUGGGGUCUUUGCUCCCAGAAGUGGUUGGCCUGGUGAGUGAGUGUAGGACCUUUGAAGCUCCUUCACCUCAUCUGGUGAACUGCUGUCAAGUUCAUCCAGUAUCAGCACCGAAGGCAACAGCGCAGGGCAUUCUAGAAACAAUCUGGGUUCCAAAGUGGCCUUAUUCGCAGGAAUCAUAUCAGGAUGCGUCAUCUUCAUCGUCAUCAUCAUCACCUUGGUGGUACUGCUGCUCAAGUACCGCAGGAGGCACGGCAAACACUCUCCACAGCACCUCCAAGCGAGGUGGCAACAACUCUGGCUGGGAACCCAGUGAUGUUCUCAUACCGCUAAGGACUGCAGAUAAUGUCUUCUGCCCACAUUAUGAGAAGGUCAGCGGGGACUAUGGGGACCCAGUGUACAUCGUGCAGGAGAUGCCCCCACAGAAUCCUGCCAACAUUUACUGCAAGGUCUGAGGCCUGGGAACUUUGCCUCCCAAGGGAACUCUCAUCUUGUUGUGGGCGCAGGGACUGCCUGAGCCUGGCUCUGGGGG
rnacentral:lncRNA from 1 species